CCUUCAGUUCUUAAAGCGCUGCAAUUCGCUGCUGCAGCCAUAUUUCUUACUCUCUCGGGGCUGGAAGCUUCCUGACUGAAGAUCUCUCUGCACUUGGGGUUCUUUCUAGAACAUUUUCUAGUCCCCCAACACCCUUUAUGGCGUAUUUCUUUAAAAAAAUCACCUAAAUUCCAUAAAAUAUUUUUUUAAAUUCUAUACUUUCUCCUAGUGUCUUCUUGACACGUCCUCCAUAUUUUUUUAAAGAAAGUAUUUGGAAUAUUUUGAGGCAAUUUUUAAUAUUUAAGGAAUUUUUCUUUGGAAUCAUUUUUGGUUGACAUCUCUGUUUUUUGUGGAUCAGUUUUUUACUCUUCCACUCUCUUUUCUAUAUUUUGCCCAUCGGGGCUGCGGAUACCUGGUUUUAUUAUUUUUUCUUUGCCCAACGGGGCCGUGGAUACCUGCCUUUUAAUUCUUUUUUAUUCGCCCAUCGGGGCCGCGGAUACCUGCUUUUUAUUUUUUUUUCCUUAGCCCAUCGGGGUAUCGGAUACCUGCUGAUUCCCUUCCCCUCUGAACCCCCAACACUCUGGCCCAUCGGGGUGACGGAUAUCUGCUUUUUAAAAAUUUUCUUUUUUUGGCCCAUCGGGGCUUCGGAUACCUGCUUUUUUUUUUUUUAUUUUUCCUUGCCCAUCGGGGCCUCGGAUACCUGCUUUAAUUUUUGUUUUUCUGGCCCAUCGGGGCCGCGGAUACCUGCUUUGAUUUUUUUUUUUCAUCGCCCAUCGGUGCUUUUUAUGGAUGAAAAAAUGUUGGUUUUGUGGGUUGUUGCACUCUCUGGAAUAUCUACACUUUUUUUUGCUGCUGAUCAUUUGGUGGUGUGUGAGUGUACCUACCGCUUUGGCAGAGAAUGACUCUGCAGUUAAGCUAAGGGCGUGUUCAGAUUGUGGAGGAAAAGUGGCCGCCAUUUUAGACUUGCCGCAUAACUCGGCUUAGGGCUAGUCGUUUGUGCUAAGUUAAACUAGGGAGGCAAGAUGGAUGAUAGCAGGUCAGGCAGAGGAAGUCAUGUGCAUUGCAUGAGCUAAACCUAUCUGAAUGAAUUGAUUUGGGGCUUGUUAGGAGCUUUGCGUGAUUGUUGUAUCGGGAGGCAGUAAGAAUCAUCUUUUAUCAGUACAAGGGACUAGUUAAAAAUGGAAGGUUAGGAAAGACUAAGGUGCAGGGCUUAAAAUGGCGAUUUUGACAUUGCGGCAUUGCUCAGCAUGGCGGGCUGUGCUUUGUUAGGUUGUCCAAAAUGGCGGAUCCAGUUCUGUCGCAGUGUUCAAGUGGCGGGAAGGCCACAUCAUGAUGGGCGAGGCUUUGUUAAGUGGUUAGCAUGGUGGUGGACAUGUGCGGUCACACAGGAAAAGAUGGCGGCUGAAGGUCUUGCCGCAGUGUAAAACAUGGCGGGCCUCUUUGUCUUUGCUGUGUGCUUUUCGUGUUGGGUUUUGCCGCAGGGACAAUAUGGCAGGCGUUGUCAUAUGUAUAUCAUGGCUUUUGUCACGUGGACAUCAUGGCGGGCUUGCCGCAUUGUUAAAGAUGGCGGGUUUUGCCGCCUAGUGCCACGCAGAGCGGGAGAAAAGGUGGGAUGGACAGUGCUGGAUUGCUGCAUAACCCAACCAAUUAGAAAUGGGGGUGGAAUUGAUCACAGCCAAUUAGAGCAGAAGAUGGAAUUAGACUGAUGACACACUGUCCAGCUACUCAGCGAAGACCUGGGUGAAUUAGCAUGGCACUUCGCAGCUGUCUUUAGCCAGUCAGGAGAAAGAAGUGGAGGGGCCACGUGUAUGUCUCCCAGUGGGCGGUACACCAGGUGUUUUCAAGGUCUUUUCAAGGACAUUUAGCCUUUCCACCUCUGUCCCCUCUUAUUUGUCCCCUCCUGUCCAGUGCUGCCUCUUGCAGUGCUGGAUAUCUGGCUGUGUGGUCUGAACCUCCCUCCAUUCCUCUGUAUUGGUGCCUCACCUAAGGCUAAGUAUACCUCCCCCCCCACCCCCCAACCCCCCCAACUCCCCACCCCCACCCCCCACCCCCCACCUCCCCACCCCCCUACCCCCCUACCCCCCUACCCCCCUCUGGUCUGCCCUGCACUGCACUGUUGCCAUGGGCAGUGCUCCAGGCCUGCUUGGUGUGGACAUGGUGGUGAGCCGUGGCAAGGACCAGAAUGGAUCACAGAUGAUCGUUGGCCAACAGGUGGCAGAAGAGGAAUUCCUGCCUUCCUCAAGAGGAACACCUACCCCUUGGCUAAUGCUGGGGUCGGAUUUUGAUUUAUAUUUAUCUUUUGGAUGUCAGUCAUACAGUCUGAUUUUGUGGUUUGCUAGUGUUUGAAUUUAAGUCUUAAGUGACUAUUAUAGAAAUGUAUUAAGAGGCUUUAUUUGUAGAAUUCACUUUAAUUACAUUUAAUGAGUUUUUGUUUUGAGUUCCUUAAAAUUCCUUAAAGUUUUUAGCUUCUCAUUACAAAUUCCUUAACCUUUUUUUGGCAGUAGAUAGUCAAAGUCAAAUCAUUUCUAAUGUUUUAAAAAUGUGCUGGUCAUUUUCUUUGAAAUUGACUUAACUAUUUUCCUUUGAAGAGUCUGUAGCACAGAAACAGUAAAAAAUUUAACUUCAUGACCUAAUGUAAAAAAGAGUGUUUGAAGGUUUACACAGGUCCAGGCCUUGCUUUGUUCCCAUCCUUGAUGCUGCACUAAUUGACUAAUCACCUACUUAUCAGACAGGAAACUUGAAUUGCUGUGGUCUGGUGUCCUCUAUUCAGACUUAUUAUAUUGGAGUAUUUCAAUUUUUCGUUGUAUCCUGCCUGCCUAGCAUCCAGUUCCUCCCCAGCCCUGCUCCCAGCAAACCCCUAGUCUAGCCCCAGCCCUACUCCCACCCCGCCCCAGCCCUGCCCCAGCCCCAGUCCCCUAACCCCCCAGCCCUAGCCCCAGUCCCAGUCCUAGUUCCUCAGUCCCGCCCAGCUUCUCUCGAAAGUCACUCUAAUUUUCAUUGAUUCAGUGCUCAAAAUAAGUUGUCCAUUGCUUAUCCUAUUAUACUGGGAUAUUCCGUUUACCCUUGGCAUUGCUGAUCUUCAGUACUGACUCCUUGACCAUUUUCAGUUAAUGCAUACAAUCCCAUUUGUCUGUGAUCUCAGGACAAAGAAUUUCCUUACUCGGUACGUUGAAGUUAGGGAAUGUCAAUUGAGAGCUUUCUAUCAGAGCAUUAUUGCCCACAAUUUGAGUUACUUAUCAUUUUCUCGAUCCCCUGCCCUUAAAGGAGAAACCAUUUCUCUGUCAUUGCUUCUGUAGUCACAGUCCCAAUUUUGAGUAGUGAUCUUUUCUUGUGUACUGUGUUGGCCACCUAAAACUCUUUGCAUUGAGUAAAAUUCUAAUUGCCAAUAAUCCUACCCAUUGGAUUAGACAGCACUCUGAACCCCAUUUGCAUUCAGCAGGGGGUCGCAGACAACCCGUCUUUUGUUGGACAGUUAAAAUGCUCAGUCCCAAUUGUCAUAGCUUUGCCUAUUAAACAAAGGCACCCUACUGCGCUUUUUGCUGUGCUUCUGGAGAAUCCUGCUGUUCUUGGACAAUUAAAGAACAAAGUAGUAAUUGCUAAUUGUCUCACCCAUUAAUCAUGAAGACUACCAGUCGCCCUUGCAUUUGCCUUGAGGCAGCGCUGACUACCUGAGAUUUAAGAGUUUCUUAAAUUAUUGAGUAAAAUCCCAAUUAUCCAUAGUUCUGUUAGUUACACUAUGGCCUUUGCAAACAUCUUUGCAUAACAGCAGUGGGACUGACUCAUUCUUAGAGCCCCUUCCCUUGGAAUAUUAAUGGAUACAAUAGUAAUUAUUCAUGGUUCUGCGUAACAGAGAAGACCCACUUAUGUGUAUGCCUUUAUCAUUGCUCCUAGAUAGUGUGAACUACCUACCACCUUGCAUUAAUAUGUAAAACACUAAUUGCCCAUAGUCCCACUCAUUAGUCUAGGAUGUCCUCUUUGCCAUUGCUGCUGAGUUCUGACUACCCAAGUUUCCUUCUCUUAAACAGUUGAUAUGCAUAAUUGCAUAUAUUCAUGGUUCUGUGCAAUAAAAAUGGAUUCUCACCCCAUCCCACCUUCUGUGGGAUGUUGCUAACGAGUGCAGAUUAUUCAAUAACAGCUCUUGAACAGUUAAUUUGCACAGUUGCAAUUGUCCAGAGUCCUGUCCAUUAGAAAGGGACUCUGUAUCCUAUUUGCACGCUACAAUGUGGGCUGAUCACCCAAGGACUCUUCUUGUGCAUUGAUGUUCAUAAUUGUAUUUGUCCACGAUCUUGUGCACUAACCCUUCCACUCCCUUUGUAUUCCAGCAGGGGACCCUUACUACUCAAGACCUCUGUACUAGGACAGUUUAUGUGCACAAUCCUAAUUGAUUAGAACUGAGUCUUUUAUAUCAAGGUCCCUGCAUCAUCUUUGCUUUACAUCAAGAGGGUGCUGGUUACCUAAUGCCCCUCCUCCAGAAAUUAUUGAUGUGCAAAAUGCAAUUUCCCUAUCUGCUGUUAGUCUGGGGUCUCAUCCCCUCAUAUUCCUUUUGUCUUACAGCAGGGGGUACUUGGGACUGUUAAUGCGCAUAAUUGCAAUUAUGGUCUUUUCCAUUAAAUUAAGAUCCCAACUGCUCACACCCUCUUAGCAUUACAGUAGAGGGUGCUAAUCACAAGGACAUUUCUUUUGUACUGUUAAUGUGCUACUUGCAUUUGUCCCUCUUCCUGUGCACUAAAGACCCCACUCACUUCCCUAGUGUUCAGCAGUGGAUGACCUCUAGUCAAGACCUUUGCACUAGGAUAGUUAAUGUGAACCAUGGCAACUGAUCACAACAAUGUCUUUCAGAUCAGAUCCAUUUUAUCCUCCUUGUUUUACAGCAAGGGAUAUUAAUUACCUAUGUUACCUUUCCCUGGGACUAUGAAUGUGCAAAAUUCCAAUGUUCAUGGUCUCUCCCUUUAAACCUAUAUUCUACCCCUUUUACAUUAUAGAAAGGGAUGCUGGAAACCCAGAGUCCUUCUCUUGGGACUCUUAAUGUGUAUUUCUAAUUAUCCAUGACUCUUAAUGUGCAUAUUUUCAAUUGCCUAAUUGAUUUCAAUUGUCUAAGACAUUUCAAAUGUCUAAUUGAUUAGAACUGAGUCUUUUAUAUCAAGCUAAUAUCUAGCUUUUAUAUCAAGCUAAUAUCUUGACUUCUCAGCAUCAUAGAAGGGGGUACUGAUUUCCUAAAGUCUUUCUUGAAUUUCUAUUAUGCAAAAUUGCCCUGAGGCCGGGUGUGGUGGCUCACACCUGUAAUCCCAGCACUUUGGGAGGCUGAGGUGGGAAGAUCCCUUACUGCCAGGAGUUUGAGACCAGCCUGGCCAACAUUAAAAAAAAAAAAAAGUAAGACAAUUGCCCUGGAAUCCCAUCCCCCUCACACCUCCUUGGCAAAGCAGCAGGAGUGCUAACUAGCUAGUGCUUCUUCUCUUAUACUGCUUAAAUGCGCAUAAUUAGCAGUAGUUGAUGUGCCCCUAUGUUAGAGUAGAAUCCCGCUUCCUUGCUCCAUUUGCAUUACUGCAGGAGCUUCUAACUAGCCUGAAUUCACUCUCUUGGACUGUUAAUGUGCAUACUUAUAUUUGCUGCUGUACUUUUUUACCAUGUAAGGACCCCACCCACUGUAUUUACAUCCCAGCUGGAAGUACCUACUACUUAAGACCCUUAGACUAGUAAAGUUAGCGUGCAUAAUCUUAGGUGUUAUAUACACAUUUUCAGUUGCAUACAGUUGUGCCUUUUAUCAGGACUCCUGUACUUAUCAAAGCAGAGAGUGCUAAUCAAUAUUAAGCCCUUCUCUUCGAACUGUAGAUGGCAUGUAAUUGCAGUUGUCAAUGGUCCUUCAAUUAGACUUGGGUUUCUGACCUAUCACACCCUCUUUGCUUUAUUGCAUGGGGUACUAUUCACUUAAGGCCCCUUUCUCAAACUGUUAAUGUGCCUAAUGACAAUUACAUCAGUAUCCUUCCUUUUGAAGGACAGCAUGGUUGGUGACACCUAAGGCCCCAUUUCUUGGCCUCCCAAUAUGUGUGAUUGUAUUUGUCGAGGUUGCUAUGCACUAGAGAAGGAAAGUGCUCCCCUCAUCCCCACUUUUCCCUUCCAGCAGGAAGUGCCCACCCCAUAAGACCCUUUUAUUUGGAGAGUCUAGGUGCACAAUUGUAAGUGACCACAAGCAUGCAUCUUGGACAUUUAUGUGCGUAAUCGCACACUGCUCAUUCCAUGUGAAUAAGGUCCUACUCUCCGACCCCUUUUGCAAUACAGAAGGGUUGCUGAUAACGCAGUCCCCUUUUCUUGGCAUGUUGUGUGUGAUUAUAAUCGUCUGGGAUCCUAUGCACUAGAAAAGGAGGGUCCUCUCCACAUACCUCAGUCUCACCUUUCCCUUCCAGCAGGGAGUGCCCACUCCAUAAGACUCUCACAUUUGGACAGUCAAGGUGCGUAAUUGUUAAGUGAACACAACCAUGCACCUUAGACAUGGAUUUGCAUAACUACACACAGCUCAACCUAUCUGAAUAAAAUCCUACUCUCAGACCCCUUUUGCAGUACAGCAGGGGUGCUGAUCACCAAGGCCCUUUUUCCUGGCCUGGUAUGCGUGUGAUUAUGUUUGUCCCGGUUCCUGUGUAUUAGACAUGGAAGCCUCCCCUGCCACACUCCACCCCCAAUCUUCCUUUCCCUUCCGGCAGGGAGUGCCCUCUCCAUAAGACGCUUACGUUUGGACAAUCAAGGUGCACAGUUGUAAGUGACCACAGGCAUACACCUUGGACAUUAAUGUGCAUAACCACUUUGCCCAUUCCAUCUGAAUAAGGUCCUACUCUCAGACCCCUUUUGCAGUACAGCAGGGGUGCUGAUCACCAAGGCCCCUUUUCUUGGCCUGUUAUGUGCGUGAUUAUAUUUGUCUGGGUUCCUGUGUAUUAGACAAGGAAGCCUUCCCCCCGCCCCCACCCCCACUCCCAGUCUUCCUUUCCCUUCCAGCAGGGAGUGCCCCCUCCAUAAGAUCAUUACAUUUGGACAAUCAAGGUGCACAAUUAUAAGUGACCACAGCCAUGCACCUUGGACAUUAUUGGACAUUAAUGUGCGUAACUGCACAUGGCCCAUCCCAUCUGAAUAAGGUCCUACUCUCAGAUGCCCUUUGCAGUACAGCAGGGGUACUGAAUCACCAAGGCCCUUUUUCUUGGCCUGUUAUGUGUGUGAUUAUAUUUAUCCCAGUUUCUGUGUAAUAGACAUGAAAGCCUCCCCUGCCACACCCCACCUCCAAUCUUCCUUUCCCUUCCACCAGGGAGUGUCCACUCCAUAUACCCUUACAUUUGGACAAUCAAGGUGCACAAUUGUAAGUGAGCAUAGGCACUCACCUUGGACAUGAAUGUGCAUAACUGCACAUGGCCCAUCCCAUCUGAAUAAGGUCCUACUCUCAGACCCUUUUUGCAGUACAGCAGGGGUGCUGAUCACCAAGGCCCCUUUUCCUGGCCUGUUAUGUGUGUGAUUAUAUUUGUUCCAGUUCCUGUGUAAUAGACAUGGAAGCCUCCCCUGCCACACUCCACCCCCAAUCUUCCUUUCCCUUCUGGCAGGAAGUACCCGCUCCAUAAGACCCUUACAUUUGGACAGUCAAGGUGCACAAUUGUAUGUGACCACAACCAUGCACCUUGGACAUAAAUGUGUGUAACUGCACAUGGCCCAUCCCAUCUGAAUAAGGUCCUACUCUCAGACCCCUUUUGCAGUACAGUAGGUGUGCUGAUAACCAAGGCCCCUCUUCCUGGCCUGUUAACGUAUGUGAUUAUAUUUGUCUGGGUUCCAGUGUAUAAGACAUGGAAGCCUCCCCUGCCCCACCCCACCCUCAAUCUUCCUUUCCCUUCUGGCAGGGAGUGCCAGCUCCAUAAGAACCUUACAUUUGGACAGUCAAGGUGCACAAUUCUAAGUGACCGCAGCCAUGCACCUUGGUCAAUAAUGUGUGUAACUGCACACGGCCUAUCUCAUCUGAAUAAGGCCUUACUCUCAGACCCCUUUUGCAGUACAGCAGGGGUGCUGAUAACCAAGGCCCAUUUUCCUGGCCUGUUAUGUGUGUGAUUAUAUUUGUCCAGGUUUCUGUGUACUAGACAAGGAAGCCUCCUCUGCCCCAUCCCAUCUACGCAUAAUCUUUCUUUUCCUCCCAGCAGGGAGUGCUCACUCCAUAAGACCCUUACAUUUGGACAAUCAAGGUGCACAAUUGUAAGUGACCACAACCAUGCAUCUUGGAAAUUUAUGUGCAUAACUGCACAUGGCUUAUCCUAUUUGAAUAAAGUCCUACUCUCAGACCCCCUUUGCAGUAUAGCUGGGGUGCUGAUCACUGAGGCCUCUUUGCUUGGCUUGUCUAUAUUCUUGUGUACUAGAUAAGGGCACCUUCUCAUGGACUCCCUUUGCUUUUCAACAAGGAGUACCCACUACUUUUUAAGAUUCUUAUAUUUGUCCAAAGUACAUGGUUUUAAUUGACCACAACAAUGUCCCUUGGACAUUAAUGUAUGUAAUCACCACAUGGUUCAUCCUAAUUAAACAAAGUUCUACCUUCUCACCCUCCAUUUGCAGUAUACCAGGGUUGCUGACCCCCUAAGUCCCCUUUUCUUGGCUUGUUGACAUGCAUAAUUGCAUUUAUGUUGGUUCUUGUGCCCUAGACAAGGAUGCCCCACCUCUUUUCAAUAGUGGGUGCCCACUCCUUAUGAUCUUUACAUUUGAACAGUUAAUGUGAAUAAUUGCAGUUGUCCACAACCCUAUCACUUCUAGGACCAUUAUACCUCUUUUGCAUUACUGUGGGGUAUACUGUUUCCCUCCAAGGCCCCUUCUGGUGGACUAUCAACAUAUAAUUGAAAUUUUCUUUUGUCUUUGUCAGUAGAUUAAGGUCAUACCCCAUCACCUUUCCUUUGUAGUACAACAGGGUGUCCUGAUCAACCAAAGUCCUGUUGUUUUGGACUGUUAAUAUGUGCAAUUACAUUUGCUCCUGAUCUGUGCACUAGAUAAGGAUCCUACCUACUUUCUUAGUGUUUUUAGCAGGUAGUGCCCACUACUCAAGACUGUCACUUGGAAUGUUCAUGUGCACAAACUCAAUUCUCUAAGCAUGUUCCUGUACCACCUUUGCUUUAGAGCAGGGGGAUGAUAUUCACUAAGUGCCCCUUCUUUUGGACUUAAUAUGCAUUAAUGCAAUUGUCCACCUCUUCUUUUAGACUAAGAGUUGAUCUCCACAUAUUCCCCUUGCAUCAGGGGCAUGUUAAUUAUGAAUGAACCCUUUUCUUUUAAUAUUAAUGUCAUAAUUGUAUUUGUGGACCUGUGUAGGAGAAAAAGACCCUAUGUUCCUCCCAUUACCCUUUGGAUUGCUGCUGAGAAGUGUUAACUACUCAUAAUCUCAGCUCUUGGACAAUUAAUAGCAUUAAUAACAAUUAUCAAGGGCACUGAUCAUUAGAUAAGACUCCUGCUUCCUCGUUGCUUACAUCGGGGGUACUGACCCACUAAGGCCCCUUGUACUGUUAAUGUGAAUAUUUGCAAUUAUAUAUGUCUCCUUCUGGUAGAGUGGGAUAUUAUGCCCUAGUAUCCCCUUUGCAUUACUGCAGGGGCUGCUGACUACUCAAAACUUCUCCUGGGACUGUUAAUAGGCACAAUGGCAGUUAUCAAUGGUUUUCUCCCUCCCUGACCUUGUUAAGCAAGCGCCCCACCCCACCCUUAGUUUCCCAUGGCAUAAUAAAGUAUAAGCAUUGGAGUAUUCCAUGCACUUGUCUAUCAAACAGUGGUCCAUACUCCCAACCCUUUUGCAUUGCGCCAGUGUGUAAAAUCACAGGUAGCCAUGGUGUCAUGCUUUAUAUACGAAGUCUUCCCUCUCUCUGCCCCUUGUGUGCCCUUGGCCCCUUUUUACAGACUAUUGCUCACAAUCUCAGGUGUCCAUAUUUGCAGCUAUUAGGUAAGAUUGUGCUGUCUCCCUCUUCCCUUCCCUCUGCCCUGCCCCUUUUGCCUCUUUGCUGGGUAAUGUUGACCAGACAAGGCCCUUUCUCUUGGACUUAAACAAUUCUCAGUUGCACUUUCCUUGGUCCCACCCAUUAUACAUGAACCCCUCUACUUCCUUUCGCAUUGCUUCUGAGUAUGCUGACUACCCAAAGCCCCUUCUGUGUUAUUAAUAAACACAGUACUGAUUGUCCCAUUUUUCAGCCCAUCAGUCCAAGAUCUCCCUACCACUUUGGUGUGUUGGUGCAGUGUUGACUAUGAAAAGCAGGCCUGAACUAGGUGGAUAAGCCUUCACUCAUUUUCUUUCAUUUAUUAAUGAUCCUAGUUUCAAUUAUUGUCAGAUUCUGGGGACAAGAACCAUUCUUGCCCACCUGUGUUACUGCUUUACUGUGCAAAAUACUGAAGGCAAGUCAGACCCAGGGAGCUGGAUUGCCAUCCUUUAUUUUGUGUUUCCAGUGUACACUAUAAAAUUGUCUCCCCAGGAAGGAAGGUUGGCACUUUCUCUGCAUUCUUCUUUCCAGAGCAGAUUGCCUGGUUAAGAAUCUCUUGUUGUCCCCUUUGUAUAUUGUUAUUGUAAAGUGCCAAAUGCCAGGAUACAGCCAGAAAAAUUGCUUAUUAUUAUUAAAAAAAUUUUUUUAAGAAAGACAUCUGGAUUGUAGGGUGGACUCGAUAACCUGGUCAUUAUUUUUUUGAAGCCAAAAUAUCCAUUUAUACUAUGUACCUGGUGACCAGUGUCUCUCAUUUUAACUGAGGGUGGUGGGUCUGUGGAUAGAACACUGACUCUUGCUAUUUUAAUAUCAAAGAUAUUCUAGAGUGGAACUCUUAAGACCAGUAUCUUUGUGUGGGCUUUACCAGCAUUCACUUUUAGAAAAACUACCUAAAUUUUAUAAUCCUUUAAUUUCUUCAUCUGGAGCACCUGCCCCUACUUAUUUCAAGAAGAUUGCAGUAAAACGAUUAAAUGAGGGAACAUAUGCAGAGGUGCUUUUAAAAAGCAUAUGCCACCUUUUUUAUUAAUUAUUAUAUAAAAUGAAGCAUUUAAUUAUAGUAAUAAUUUGAAGUAGUUUGAAGUACCACACUGAGGUGAGGACUUAAAAAUGAUAAGACGAGUUCCCUAUUUUAUAAGAAAAAUAAGCCAAAAUUAAAUAUUCUUUUGGAUAUAAAUUUCAACAGUGAGAUAGCUGCCUAGUGGAAAUGAAUAAUAUCCCAGCCACUAGUGUACAGGGUGUUUUGUGGCACAGGAUUAUGUAAUAUGGAACUGCUCAAGCAAAUAACUAGUCAUCACAACAGCAGUUCUUUGUAAUAACUGAAAAAGAAUAUUGUUUCUCGGAGAAGGAUGUCAAAAGAUCGGCCCAGCUCAGGGAGCAGUUUGCCCUACUAGCUCCUCGGACAGCUGUAAAGAAGAGUCUCUGGCUCUUUAGAAUACUGAUCCCAUUGAAGAUACCACGCUGCAUGUGUCCUUAGUAGUCAUGUCUCCUUAGGCUCCUCUUGGACAUUCUGAGCAUGUGAGACCUGAGGACUGCAAACAGCUAUAAGAGGCUCCAAAUUAAUCAUAUCUUUCCCUUUGAGAAUCUGGCCAAGCUCCAGCUAAUCUACUUGGAUGGGUUGCCAGCUAUCUGGAGAAAAAGAUCUUCCUCAGAAGAAUAGGCUUGUUGUUUUACAGUGUUAGUGAUCCAUUCCCUUUGACGAUCCCUAGGUGGAGAUGGGGCAUGAGGAUCCUCCAGGGGAAAAGCUCACUACCACUGGGCAACAACCCUAGGUCAGGAGGUUCUGUCAAGAUACUUUCCUGGUCCCAGAUAGGAAGAUAAAGUCUCAAAAACAACCACCACACGUCAAGCUCUUCAUUGUUCCUAUCUGCCAAAUCAUUAUACUUCCUACAAGCAGUGCAGAGAGCUGAGUCUUCAGCAGGUCCAAGAAAUUUGAACACACUGAAGGAAGUCAGCCUUCCCACCUGAAGAUCAACAUGCCUGGCACUCUAGCACUUGAGGAUAGCUGAAUGAAUGUGUAUUUCUUUGUCUCUUUCUUUCUUGUCUUUGCUCUUUGUUCUCUAUCUAAAGUGUGUCUUACCCAUUUCCAUGUUUCUCUUGCUAAUUUCUUUCGUGUGUGCCUUUGCCUCAUUUUCUCUUUUUGUUCACAAGAGUGGUCUGUGUCUUGUCUUAGACAUAUCUCUCAUUUUUCAUUUUGUUGCUAUUUCUCUUUGCUCUCCUAGAUGUGGCUCUUCUUUCACGCUUUAUUUCAUGUCUCCUUUUUGGGUCACAUGCUGUGUGCUUUUUGUCCUUUUCUUGUUCUGUCUACCUCUCCUUUCUCUGCCUACCUCUCUUUUCUCUUUGUGAACUGUGAUUAUUUGUUACCCCUUCCCCUUCUCGUUCGUUUUAAAUUUCACCUUUUUUCUGAGUCUGGCCUCCUUUCUGCUGUUUCUACUUUUUAUCUCACAUUUCUCAUUUCUGCAUUUCCUUUCUGCCUCUCUUGGGCUAUUCUCUCUCUCCUCCCCUGCGUGCCUCAGCAUCUCUUGCUGUUUGUGAUUUUCUAUUUCAGUAUUAAUCUCUGUUGGCUUGUAUUUGUUCUCUGCUUCUUCCCUUUCUACUCACCUUUGAGUAUUUCAGCCUCUUCAUGAAUCUAUCUCCCUCUCUUUGAUUUCAUGUAAUCUCUCCUUAAAUAUUUCUUUGCAUAUGUGGGCAAGUGUACGUGUGUGUGUGUCAUGUGUGGCAGAGGGGCUUCCUAACCCCUGCCUGAUAGGUGCAGAACGUCGGCUAUCAGAGCAAGCAUUGUGGAGCGGUUCCUUAUGCCAGGCUGCCAUGUGAGAUGAUCCAAGACCAAAACAAGGCCCUAGACUGCAGUAAAACCCAGAACUCAAGUAGGGCAGAAGGUGGAAGGCUCAUAUGGAUAGAAGGCCCAAAGUAUAAGACAGAUGGUUUGAGACUUGAGACCCGAGGACUAAGAUGGAAAGCCCAUGUUCCAAGAUAGAUAGAAGCCUCAGGCCUGAAACCAACAAAAGCCUCAAGAGCCAAGAAAACAGAGGGUGGCCUGAAUUGGACCGAAGGCCUGAGUUGGAUGGAAGUCUCAAGGCUUGAGUUAGAAGUCUUAAGACCUGGGACAGGACACAUGGAAGGCCUAAGAACUGAGACUUGUGACACAAGGCCAACGACCUAAGAUUAGCCCAGGGUUGUAGCUGGAAGACCUACAACCCAAGGAUGGAAGGCCCCUGUCACAAAGCCUACCUAGAUGGAUAGAGGACCCAAGCGAAAAAGGUAUCUCAAGACUAACGGCCGGAAUCUGGAGGCCCAUGACCCAGAACCCAGGAAGGAUAGAAGCUUGAAGACCUGGGGAAAUCCCAAGAUGAGAACCCUAAACCCUACCUCUUUUCUAUUGUUUACACUUCUUACUCUUAGAUAUUUCCAGUUCUCCUGUUUAUCUUUAAGCCUGAUUCUUUUGAGAUGUACUUUUUGAUGUUGCCGGUUACCUUUAGAUUGACAGUAUUAUGCCUGGGCCAGUCUUGAGCCAGCUUUAAAUCACAGCUUUUACCUAUUUGUUAGGCUAUAGUGUUUUGUAAACUUCUGUUUCUAUUCACAUCUUCUCCACUUGAGAGAGACACCAAAAUCCAGUCAGUAUCUAAUCUGGCUUUUGUUAACUUCCCUCAGGAGCAGACAUUCAUAUAGGUGAUACUGUAUUUCAGUCCUUUCUUUUGACCCCAGAAGCCCUAGACUGAGAAGAUAAAAUGGUCAGGUUGUUGGGGAAAAAAAAGUGCCAGGCUCUCUAGAGAAAAAUGUGAAGAGAUGCUCCAGGCCAAUGAGAAGAAUUAGACAAGAAAUACACAGAUGUGCCAGACUUCUGAGAAGCACCUGCCAGCAACAGCUUCCUUCUUUGAGCUUAGGUGAGCAGGAUUCUGGGGUUUGGGAUUUCUAGUGAUGGUUAUGGAAAGGGUGACUGUGCCUGGGACAAAGCGAGGUCCCAAGGGGACAGCCUGAACUCCCUGCUCAUAGUAGUGGCCAAAUAAUUUGGUGGACUGUGCCAACGCUACUCCUGGGUUUAAUACCCAUCUCUAGGCUUAAAGAUGAGAGAACCUGGGACUGUUGAGCAUGUUUAAUACUUUCCUUGAUUUUUUUCUUCCUGUUUAUGUGGGAAGUUGAUUUAAAUGACUGAUAAUGUGUAUGAAAGCACUGUAAAACAUAAGAGAAAAACCAAUUAGUGUAUUGGCAAUCAUGCAGUUAACAUUUGAAAGUGCAGUGUAAAUUGUGAAGCAUUAUGUAAAUCAGGGGUCCACAGUUUUUCUGUAAGGGGUCAAAUCAUAAAUACUUUAGACUGUGGGCCAUAUGGUUUCUGUUACAUAUUUGUUUUUUAAACAACGUUUUUAUAAGGUCAAAAUCAUUCUUAGUUUUUGAGCCAAUUGGAUUUGGCCUGCUGUUCAUAGCUUACCACCCCCUGAUGUAUUAUUUGUUAUUCAGAGAAAAUUUCUGAAUACUACUAGUUUCCUUUUCUGUGCCUGUCCCUGUGCUAGGCACUAAAAAUGCAAUGAUUAUUGAUAUCUAGGUGACCUGAAAAAAAAUAGUGAAUGUGCUUUGUAAACUGUAAAGCACUUGUAUUCUACUGUGAUAAGCGUUGUGGAUACAAAGAAAGGAGCAAGCAUAAAAAAGUGCUCUUUCAAAAGGAUAUAGUACUAUGCAGACACAAGGAAUUGUUUGAUAAAUGAAUAAAUUAUAUGUAUAUUUGAGGCCAAUUUGUGUUUGCUGCUCUGGUAAUUUUGAGUAAAAAUGCAGUAUUCCAGGUAUCAGAAACGAAAACACAUGGAAACUGCUUUUAAACUUUAAAAUAUACUGAAAACAUAAGGGACUAAGCUUGUUGUGGUCACCUAUAAUGUGCCAGAUACCAUGCUGGGUGCUAGAGCUACCAAAGGGGGAAAAGUAUUCUCAUAGAACAAAAAAUUUCAGAAAGGUGCAUAUUAAAGUGCUUUGUAAACUAAAGCAUGAUACAAAUGUCAAUGGGCUACAUAUUUAUGAAUGAAUGAAUGGAUGAAUGAAUAUUAAGUGCCUCUUACAUACCAGCUAUUUUGGGUACUGUAAAAUACAAGAUUAAUUCUCCUAUGUAAUAAGAGGAAAGUUUAUCCUCUAUACUAUUCAGAUGUAAGGAAUGAUAUAUUGCUUAAUUUUAAACAAUCAAGACUUUACUGGUGAGGUUAAGUUAAAUUAUUACUGAUACAUUUUUCCAGGUAACCAGGAAAGAGCUAGUAUGAGGAAAUGAAGUAAUAGAUGUGAGAUCCAGACCGAAAGUCACUUAAUUCAGCUUGCGAAUGUGCUUUCUAAAUUAUAAAGCACUUGUAAAUGAAAAAUUUGAUGCUUUCUGUAUGAAUAAAACUUUCUGUAAGCUAGGUAUUGUCUCUACAAAAUUCUCAUUGUAUAGUUAAACCACAGUGAGAAGGGUUCUAUAAGUAGUUAUACAAACCAAGGGUUUAAAUACCUGUUAAAUAGAUCAAUUUUGAUUGCCUACUAUGUGAACUCACUGUUAAAGGCACUGAAAAUUUAUCAUAUUUCAUUUAGCCACAGCCAAAAAUAAGGCAAUACCUAUGUUAGCAUUUUGUGAACUCUAAGGCACCAUAUAAAUGUAACUGUUGAUUUUCUCACUUGGUGCUGGGUACUAGGUUUAUAAAAUUGUAUGAUAGUUAUUAUAUUGUGCAAAUAAAGUAGGAAAAUUUGAAUAACAAUGAUUAUCUUUUGAAUACGCAUACGCAAGGGAUUGGUUGUCUGAAGAAUGCCACUAUAGUAGUUAUCUAUUGUGUGCCAAUCUCAUUGCUAGGCAUUGGGGAUGCAAAGAUAAACCAUCUUUAUUGUGUCUUGGGUAGCAGAAGAAAAUAUGUGUAAAAUCAAUUUAUAAUUUGUAAACUGCCACCCAUAUAUAAGCUAUAUCUGCUGAAUGAUCAUUGAUUACUCUUAUCCUUAGAGAUAACAACUGGGGGCACAAACAUUUAUUAUCAUUAUUGAACCUACAACAGAGAUCUAUGUGUAGAUUUACAAAGCCUACAGUUCUAUACAGAUAGGAAUGAACUAUUGGCUUACUGAAUGGUGAUUACUUUCUGUGGGGCUCGGAACUACAUGCCCUAGGAUAUAAAAAUGAUGUUAUCAUUAUAGAGUGCUCACAGAAGGAAAUGAAGUAAUAUAGGUGUGAGAUCCAGACCAAAAGUCAUUUAACAAGUUUAUUCAGUGAUGAAAACAUGGGACAAAUGGACUAAUAUAAGGCAGUGUACUAAGCUGAGUAGAGAGAUAAAGUCCUGUCCAGAAGAUACAUGCUUCCUGGCCUGAUUGAGGAGAUGGAAAAUUUUUGCAAAAAACAAGGUGUUGUGGUCUUCCAUCCAGUUUCUUAAGUGCUGAUGAUAAAAGUGAAUUAGACCCACCUUGACCUGGCCUACAGAAGUAAAGGAGUAAAAAUAAAUGCCUCAGGCGUGCUUUUUGAUUCAUUUGAUAAACAAAGCAUCUUUUAUGUGGAAUAUACCAUUCUGGGUCCUGAGGAUAAGAGAGAUGAGGGCAUUAGAUCACUGACAGCUGAAGAUAGAAGAACAUCUUUGGUUUGAUUGUUUAAAUAAUAUUUCAAUGCCUAUUCUCUGCAAGGUACUAUGUUUCGUAAAUUAAAUAGGUCUGGCCCAGAAGACCCACUCAAUUGCCUUUGAGAUUAAAAAAAAAAAAAAAAAGAAAGAAAAAUGCAAGUUUCUUUCAAAAUAAAGAGACAUUUUUCCUAGUUUCAGGAAUCCCCCAAAUCACUUCCUCAUUGGCUUAGUUUAAAGCCAGGAGACUGAUAAAAGGGCUCAGGGUUUGUUCUUUAAUUCAUUAACUAAACAUUCUGCUUUUAUUACAGUUAAAUGGUUCAAGAUGUAACAACUAGUUUUAAAGGUAUUUGCUCAUUGGUCUGGCUUAGAGACAGGAAGACAUAUGAGCAAUAAAAAAAAGAUUCUUUUGCAUUUACCAAUUUAGUAAAAAUUUAUUAAAACUGAAUAAAGUGCUGUUCUUAAGUGCUUGAAAGACGUAAACCAAAGUGCACUUUAUCUCAUUUAUCUUAUGGUGGAAACACAGGAACAAAUUCUCUAAGAGACUGUGUUUCUUUAGUUGAGAAGAAACUUCAUUGAGUAGCUGUGAUAUGUUCGAUACUAAGGAAAAACUAAACAGAUCACCUUUGACAUGCGUUGUAGAGUGGGAAUAAGAGAGGGCUUUUUAUUUUUUCGUUCAUACGAGUAUUGAUGAAGAUGAUACUAAAUGCUAAAUGAAAUAUAUCUGCUCCAAAAGGCAUUUAUUCUGACUUGGAGAUGCAACAAAAACACAAAAAUGGAAUGAAGUGAUACUCUUCAUCAAACAGAAGUGACUGUUAUCUCAACCAUUUUGUUAAAUCCUAAACAGAAAACAAAAAAAAUCAUGACGAAAAGACACUUGCUUAUUAAUUGGCUUGGAAAGUAGAAUAUAGGAGAAAGGUUACUGUUUAUUUUUUUUCAUGUAUUCAUUCAUUCUACAAAUAUAUUCGGGUGCCAAUAGGUACUUGGUAUAAGGUUUUUGGCCCCAGAGACAUGGGAAAAAAAUGCAUGCCUUCCCAGAGAAUGCCUAAUACUUUCCUUUUGGCUUGUUUUCUUGUUAGGGGCAUGGCUUAGUCCCUAAAUAACAUUGUGUGGUUUAAUUCCUACUCCGUAUCUCUUCUACCACUCUGGCCACUACGAUAAGCAGGUAGCUGGGUUUUGUAGUGAGCUUGCUCCUUAAGUUACAGGAACUCUCCUUAUAAUAGACACUUCAUUUUCCUAGUCCAUCCCUCAUGAAAAAUGACUGACCACUGCUGGGCAGCAGGAGGGAUGAUGACCAACUAAUUCCCAAACCCCAGUCUCAUUGGUACCAGCCUUGGGGAACCACCUACACUUGAGCCACAAUUGGUUUUGAAGUGCAUUUACAAGGUUUGUCUAUUUUCAGUUCUUUACUUUUUACAUGCUGACACAUACAUACACUGCCUAAAUAGAUCUCUUUCAGAAACAAUCCUCAGAUAACGCAUAGCAAAAUGGAGAUGGAGACAUGAUUUCUCAUGCAACAGCUUCUCUAAUUAUACCUUAGAAAUGUUCUCCUUUUUAUCAUCAAAUCUGCUCAAGAAGGGCUUUUUAUAGUAGAAUAAUAUCAGUGGAUGAAAACAGCUUAACAUUUUACCAUGCUUAAGUUUUAAGAAUAAAAUAAAAAUUGGAAAUAAUUGGCCAAAAUUGAAAGGAAAAAUUUUUUUAAAAUUUCUCUAAAUGUAGGCCUGGCUGGGCUUUGACCUUUUCCGUUUUUAAAUCACUCACAGAGGGUGGGACAGGAGGAAGAGUGAAGGAAAAGGUCAAACCUGUUUUAAGGGCAACCUGCCUUUGUUCUGAAUUGGUCUUAAGAACAUUACCAGCUCCAGGUUUAAAUUGUUCAGUUUCAUGCAGUUCCAAUAGCUGAUCAUUGUUGAGAUGAGGACAAAAUCCUUUGUCCUCACUAGUUUGCUUUACAUUUUUGAAAAGUAUUAUUUUUGUCCAAGUGCUUAUCAACUAAACCUUGUGUUAGGUAAGAAUGGAAUUUAUUAAGUGAAUCAGUGUGACCCUUCUUGUCAUAAGAUUAUCUUAAAGCUGAAGCCAAAAUAUGCUUCAAAAGAAGAGGACUUUAUUGUUCAUUGUAGUUCAUACAUUCAAAGCAUCUGAACUGUAGUUUCUAUAGCAAGCCAAUUACAUCCAUAAGUGGAGAAGGAAAUAGAUAAAUGUCAAAGUAUGAUUGGUGGAGGGAGCAAGGUUGAAGAUAAUCUGGGGUUGAAAUUUUCUAGUUUUCAUUCUGUACAUUUUUAGUUAGACAUCAGAUUUGAAAUAUUAAUGUUUACCUUUCAAUGUGUGGUAUCAGCUGGACUCAGUAACACCCCUUUCUUCAGCUGGGGAUGGGGAAUGGAUUAUUGGAAAAUGGAAAGAAGAAAGUAACUAAAAGCCUUCCUUUCACAGUUUCUGGCAUCACUACCACUACUGAUUAAACAAGAAUAAGAGAACAUUUUAUCAUCAUCUGCUUUAUUCACAUAAAUGAAGUUGUGAUGAAUAAAUCUGCUUUUAUGCAGACACAAGGAAUUAAGUGGCUUCGUCAUUGUCCUUCUACCUCAAAGAUAAUUUAUUCCAAAAGCUAAGAUAAAUGGAAGACUCUUGAACUUGUGAACUGAUGUGAAAUGCAGAAUCUCUUUUGAGUCUUUGCUGUUUGGAAGAUUGAAAAAUAUUGUUCAGCAUGGGUGACCACCAGAAAGUAAUCUUAAGCCAUCUAGAUGUCACAAUUGAAACAAACUGGGGAGUUGGUUGCUAUUGUAAAAUAAAAUAUACUGUUUUGAAAACUUUGAAAAAAAAAAAAAAAA
rnacentral:lncRNA from 1 species